UACGUAGGGGGCAAGCGUUUGUCCGGAAUCAUUGGGCGUAAAGCGCGUGUAGGCGGUCCGGUAAGUCCGCUGUGAAAGUCGGGGGCUCAACCCUCGGAUGCCGGUGGAUACUGUCGGGCUUGAGUACGGAAGAGGCGAGUGGAAUUCCUGGUGUAGCGGUGAAAUGCGCAGAUAUCAGGAGGAACACCAAUUGCGAAGGCAGCUCGCUGGGACGUUACUGACGCUGAGACGCGAAAAGCGUGGGGAGCAAACAGG
rnacentral:rRNA from 1 species